UGAUAGUGAUGUAGGCAGUCUCUAAGUAGCUUCUUGUAUCUUUCCCAAGCUUGACGAAGAGUCUCACCAUCCUGUUGUUAAAACCCAAGAAUCUGACUCCUUAGUGA
rnacentral:snoRNA from 1 species